GUAAGGAAUAUUGGACAAUGGGCGCAAGCCUGAUCCAGCCAUCCCGCGUGCAGGAUGACGGCCCUACGGGUUGUAAACUGCUUUUGUUAGGGAAGAAACCCCUGCUUUUAAGCGGGGCUGACGGUACCUUUCGAAUAAGCACCGGCUAACUCCGUGCCAGCAGCCGCGGUAAUACGGAGGGUGCAAGCGUUAUCCGGAAUUACUGGGUUUAAAGGGUGCGUAGGCGGCGCAGUAAGUCAGAGGUGAAAGCCCGUGGCUCAACCAUGGAAAUGCCUUUGAUACUGUUGCGCUUGAAUCAGGUUGAGGACAGCGGAAUGUGGCAUGUAGCGGUGAAAUGCAUAGAUAUGCCAUAGAACACCGAUUGCGAAGGCAGCUGUCUGGGCCUGUAUUGACGCUGAGGCACGAAAGCGUGGGGAGCGAACAGGAUUAGAAACCCGAGUAGUCC
rnacentral:rRNA from 1 species